AUGCAGUCGUACGAGAAGUCCGCUUCGGUGGAUAAGUAAAGUGGCGCACGGGUGAGUAACGCGUGGAUAAUCUACCCUUUAGUCGGGAAUAACCCAUCGAAAGGUGGACUAAUACCGGAUAAUACUGCAUGACUACUGUUGUGUAGUCAAAAGAGGCCUCUGUUUACAAGCUUUUGCUGAAGGAUGAGUCCGCGUACCAUUAGCUAGUUGGUAGGGUAAAAGCCUACCAAGGCUACGAUGGUUAGCUGGUCUGAGAGGAUGAUCAGCCACACUGGAACUGAGACACGGUCCAGACUCCUACGGGAGGCAGCAGUGAGGAAUAUUGCGCAAUGGGGGCAACCCUGACGCAGCAACGCCGCGUGAGUGAGGAAGGUUUUCGGACCGUAAAGCUCUGUCGAGCGGGAAGAAAUGCAUGAUGGCUAAUAUCCAUCAUGCUUGACGGUACCGCUAGAGGAAGCACCGGCUAACUCCGUGCCAGCAGCCGCGGUAAUACGGGGGGUGCAAGCGUUGUUCGGAAUUAUUGGGCGUAAAGAGCGUGUAGGCGGCUGGAUAAGUCAGAUGUGAAAGCCCUGGGCUUAACCCAGGAAGUGCAUUUGAAACUGUCCGGCUGGAGUAAGGGAGAGGAAAGUGGAAUUCCUGGUGUAGAGGUGAAAUUCGUAGAUAUCAGGAGGAACACCGGUGGCGAAGGCGACUUUCUGGCCCUAUACUGACGCUGUGACGCGAGAGCGUGGGUAGCAAACAGGAUUAGAUACCCUGGUAGUCCACGCCGUAAACGAUGUUCACUAGGUGUUGGGGGGUAUUGACCCUCUCAGUGCCGCAGCGAACGCAUUAAGUGAACCGCCUGGGGAGUACGGUCGCAAGAUUGAAACUCAAAGGAAUUGACGGGGGCCCGCACAAUCGGUGGAGCAUGUGGUUUAAUUCGAUGCGACGCGAAGAUCUUUACCUAGGCGUGACAUCCCGGGAAUUCUUAGGAAACUAAGAAGUGCCUUUCGGGGAAACCCGGUGACAGUGUCUGCAUGCCUGGUCGCAGCUCGUGUCGUGAGAUGUUGGAUUAAGUCCCGCAACGA
rnacentral:rRNA from 1 species